rnacentral:rRNA from 1 species
GUGGGGAAUAUUGGACAAUGGGCGAAAGCCUGAUCCAGCCAUGCCGCGUGAGUGAUGAAGGCCUUCGGGUUGUAAAGCUCUUUUGUCCGGGAAGAUAAUGACUGUACCGGAAGAAUAAGCCCCGGCAAACUUCGUGCCAGCAGCCGCGGUAAUACGAAGGGGGCUAGCGUUGUUCGGAAUCACUGGGCGUAAAGCGCACGUAGGCGGCUUGUUAAGUCAGGGGUGAAAGCCUGGAGCUCAACUCCAGAACUGCCCUUGAUACUGGCAAGCUUGAGUGUGGAAGAGGUUGGUGGAACUCCGAGUGUAGAGGUGAAAUUCGUAGAUAUUCGGAAGAACACCAGUGGCGAAGGCGGCCAACUGGUCCAUUACUGACGCUGAGGUGCGAAAGCGUGGGGAGCAAACAGGAUUAGAAACCCUGGUAGUCC